rnacentral:rRNA from 1 species
AGGUAAGCUACUAAGAGCGAAUGGUGGAUGCCUUGACUGGUAAAGGCGAUGAAGGACGUACUAGACUGCGAUAAGCUACGGGGAGCUGUCAAGAAGCUUUGAUCCGUAGAUUUCCGAAUGGGGCAACCCAAUGUAUAGAGAUAUACAUUACCUAUAUAGGAGCGAACGAGGGGAAUUGAAACAUCUUAGUACCCUCAGGAAAAGAAAUCAAUAGAGAUUGCGUCAGUAGCGGCGAGCGAAAGCGCAAGAGGGCAAACCCAGUGCUUGCACUGGGGGUUGUAGGACUGCAAUGUGCAAGAGGUGAGUUUAGCAGAACAUUCUGGAAAGUAUAGCCAUAGAGGGUGAUAGUCCGUAUGCGAAAACAAACCUUAGCUAGCAGUAUCCUGAGUAGGGCGGGACACGAGAAAUCCUGUCUGAAGCUGGGUCGACCACGAUCCAACCCUAAAUACUAAUACCAGAUCGAUAGUGCACAAGUACCGUGAGGGAAAGGUGAAAAGAACUGAGGUGAUCAGAGUGAAAUAGAACCUGAAACCAUUUGCUUACAAUCAUUCAGAGCCCUAUGUAGCAAUACAGGGUGAUGGACUGCCUUUUGCAUAAUGAGCCUGCGAGUUGUGGUGUCUGGCAAGGUUAAGCAAACGCGAAGCCGUAGCGAAAGCGAGUCUGAAUAGGGCGCUUAGUCAGAUGCUGCAGACCCGAAACGAAGUGAUCUAUCCAUGAGCAAGUUGAAGCUAGUGUAAGAACUAGUGGAGGACUGAACCCAUAGGCGUUGAAAAGCCCCAGGGUAGACUUGUGGAUAGGGGUGAAAGGCCAAUCAAACUUCGUGAUAGCUGGUUCUCUCCGAAAUAUAUUUAGGUAUAGCGUUGUGUCGUAAUAUAAGGGGGUAGAGCACUGAAUGGGCUAGGGCAUACACCAAUGUACCAAACCCUAUCAAACUCCGAAUACCUUAUAUGUAAUCACAGCAGUCAGGCGGCGAGUGAUAAAAUCCGUCGUCAAGAGGGAAACAACCCAGACUACCAGCUAAGGUCCCUAAAUCUUACUUAAGUGGAAAACGAUGUGAAGUUACUUAAACAACCAGGAGGUUGGCUUAGAAGCAGCCAUCCUUUAAAGAAAGCGUAAUAGCUCACUGGUCUAGUGAUUUUGCGCGGAAAAUAUAACGGGGCUAAAGUAAGUACCGAAGCUGUAGACUUGCGCAUGUGCAAGUGGUAGGAGAGCGUUCUAUUUGCGUCGAAGGUAUACCGGUAAGGAGUGCUGGAGCGAAUAGAAGUGAGCAUGCAGGCAUGAGUAGCGAUAAUUAAUGUGAGAAUCAUUAACGCCGUAAACCCAAGGUUUCCUACGCGAUGCUCGUCAUCGUAGGGUUAGUCGGGUCCUAAGUCGAGUCCGAAAGGGGUAGACGAUGGCAAAUUGGUUAAUAUUCCAAUACCAACAUUAGUCGUCGCGAUGGAAGGACGCUUAGGGCUAAGGGGGCUAGCGGAUGGAAGUGCUAGUCUAAGGUCGUAGGAGGUUAUACAGGCAAAUCCGUAUAACAAUACUCCGAGAACUGAAAGGCUUUUUGAAGUCUUCGGAUGGAUAGAAGAACCCCUGAUGCCAUCGAGCCAAGAAAAGUUUCUAAGUUUAGCUAAUGUUGCCCGUACCGUAAACCGACACAGGUGGGUGGGAUGAGUAUUCUAAGGCGCGUGGAAGAACUCUCUUUAAGGAACUCUGCAAAAUAGCACCGUAUCUUCGGUAUAAGGUGUGGUUCGCUUCGUAUUAGGAUUUACUCCGAAAGCGAAGAAACUUACAACAAAGAGUCCCUCCCGACUGUUUACCAAAAACACAGCACUCUGCUAACUCGUAAGAGGAUGUAUAGGGUGUGACGCCUGCCCGGUGCUCGAAGGUUAAUUGAUGGGGUUAGCAUUAGCGAAGCUCUUGAUCGAAGCCCGAGUAAACGGCGGCCGUAACUAUAACGGUCCUAAGGUAGCGAAAUUCCUUGUCGGUUAAAUACCGACCUGCAUGAAUGGCGUAACGAGAUGGGAGCUGUCUCAAAGAGGGAUCCAGUGAAAUUGUAGUGGAGGUGAAAAUUCCUCCUACCCGCGGCAAGACGGAAAGACCCCGUGGACCUUUACUACAGCUUGACACUGCUAUUUGGAUAAGAAUGUGCAGGAUAGGUGGGAGGCUUUGAGUAUAUGACGCCAGUUGUAUAUGAGCCAUUGUUGAGAUACCACUCUUUCUUAUUUGGGUAGCUAACCAGCUUGAGUUAUCCUCAAGUGGGACAAUGUCUGGUGGGUAGUUUGACUGGGGCGGUCGCCUCCCAAAUAAUAACGGAGGCUUACAAAGGUUGGCUCAGAACGGUUGGAAAUCGUUCGUAGAGUAUAAAGGUAUAAGCCAGCUUAACUGCAAGACAUACAAGUCAAGCAGAGACGAAAGUCGGUCUUAGUGAUCCGGUGGUUCUGUGUGGAAGGGCCAUCGCUCAAAGGAUAAAAGGUACCCCGGGGAUAACAGGCUGAUCUCCCCCAAGAGCUCACAUCGACGGGGAGGUUUGGCACCUCGAUGUCGGCUCAUCGCAUCCUGGGGCUGGAGCAGGUCCCAAGGGUAUGGCUGUUCGCCAUUUAAAGCGGUACGCGAGCUGGGUUCAGAACGUCGUGAGACAGUUCGGUCCCUAUCUGCCGUGGGCGUAAGAAGAUUGAAGAGAUUUGACCCUAGUACGAGAGGACCGGGUUGAACAAACCACUGGUGUAGCUGUUGUUCUGCCAAGAGCAUCGCAGCGUAGCUAAGUUUGGAAAGGAUAAACGCUGAAAGCAUCUAAGCGUGAAGCCAACUCUAAGAUGAAUCUUCUCUAAGCUCUCUAGAAGACUACUAGUUUGAUAGGCUGGGUGUGUAAUGGAUGAAAGUCCUUUAGCUGACCAGUACUAAUAGAGCGUUUGGCUUAUCUUU